rnacentral:rRNA from 1 species
UACGUAGGCAGCAAGCGUUGUUCGGAGUUACUGGGCGUAAAGAGUGCGUAGGCGGUUCCGUAAGUUUGGUGUGAAAUCUCCCGGCUCAACUGGGAGGGUGCGCCGAAGACUGCGGUGCUUGAGUGUGGGAAAGGUAGGCGGAAUUCCUGGUGUAGCGGUGAAAUGCGCAGAUAUCAGGAGGAACACCGGUGGCGAAGGCGGGUCUCUGGGCCGAUACUGACGCUGAGGAGCGAAAGCGUGGGGAGCGAACAGG